AUUGAACGCUGGCGGCAGGCCUAACACAUGCAAGUCGAACGGUAACAGGAAGCAGCUUGCUGCUUUGCUGACGAGUGGCGGACGGGUGAGUAAUGUCUGGGAAACUGCCUGAUGGAGGGGGAUAACUACUGGAAACGGUAGCUAAUACCGCAUAAUGUCGCAAGACCAAAGAGGGGGACCUUCGGGCCUCUUGCCAUCGGAUGUGCCCAGAUGGGAUUAGCUAGUAGGUGGGGUAAAGGCUCACCUAGGCGACGAUCCCUAGCUGGUCUGAGAGGAUGACCAGCCACACUGGAACUGAGACACGGUCCAGACUCCUACGGGAGGCAGCAGUGGGGAAUAUUGCACAAUGGGCGCAAGCCUGAUGCAGCCAUGCCGCGUGUAUGAAGAAGGCCUUCGGGUUGUAAAGUACUUUCAGCGGGGAGGAAGGGAGUAAAGUUAAUACCUUGGCUCAUUGACGUUACCCGCAGAAGAAGCACCGGCUAACUCCGUG
rnacentral:rRNA from 1 species